AUUGAACGCUGGCGGCAUGCCUUACACAUGCAAGUCGAACGGUAACAGGUCUUCGGAUGCUGACGAGUGGCGAACGGGUGAGUAAUACAUCGGAACGUGCCCGAUCGUGGGGGAUAACGGAGCGAAAGCUUUGCUAAUACCGCAUACGAUCUACGGAUGAAAGCAGGGGACCGCAAGGCCUUGCGCGGACGGAGCGGCCGAUGGCAGAUUAGGUAGUUGGUGGGAUAAAAGCUUACCAAGCCGACGAUCUGUAGCUGGUCUGAGAGGACGACCAGCCACACUGGGACUGAGACACGGCCCAGACUCCUACGGGAGGCAGCAGUGGGGAAUUUUGGACAAUGGGCGAAAGCCUGAUCCAGCCAUGCCGCGUGCAGGAUGAAGGCCUUCGGGUUGUAAACUGCUUUUGUACGGAACGAAAAGACUCCUUCUAAUAAAGGGGGUCCAUGACGGUACCGUAAGAAUAAGCACCGGCUAACUACGUGCCAGCAGCCGCAGUAACAC
rnacentral:rRNA from 1 species